rnacentral:rRNA from 1 species
CCUACGGGAUGCAGCAGUCGGGAAUAUUGCGCAAUGUAGGAAACUCUGACGCAGUAACGCCGCGUGCAUGAAGAAGGUUUUCGGAUUGUAAACUGCUUUAGACAGUGAAGAAACAAGACAUUACCUGUAAAAUAAGCUCCGACUAACUACGUGCCAGCAGCCGCGGUAAUACGUAGGGAGCAAGCGUUAUCCGGAUUUAUUGGGGGUAAAGGGUGCGUAGACGGGAAGUCAAGUUGGUUGUGAAAUCCCUCGGCUUAACUGAGGAACUGCAAUCAAACCUACCUUUCUUGAGUGCGGGAGAGGAAAGUGGAAUUCCGGGUGUAGCGGUGAAAUGCGUAGAUAUGAGGAGGAACACCAGUGGCGAAGGCGACUUUCUGGACAGUAACUGACGUUGAGGCACGAAAGUGUGGGGAGCAAACAGGAUUAGAUACCCUGGUAGUC